rnacentral:tRNA from 1 species
CCAAUUGUCUAUUUUGGCAGAUAAGUGCGGUGGAUUUAAGCUCCACAUAUAAAGCCAAGGCUUUUUUUAGAAA